UACGUAGGGUGCGAGCGUUGUCCGGAAUCACUGGGCGUAAAGGGCGCGUAGGUGGUGGCUUAAGCGUGCGGUGAAAGCUCGGGCUCAACUCCGAGUCGGCCGUGCGAACUGGGCUCACUGGAGCAUAGUAGAGGCAGGUGGAAUUCCGGGUGUAGCGGUGGAAUGCGUAGAGAUGCGGAGGAACACCAGUGGCGAAAGCGACUUUCUGGUCCUUAACUGACGCUGAGGCGCGAAAGCAUGGGGAGCGAACGGG
rnacentral:rRNA from 1 species